UCAAAGAUUAAGCCAUGCAUGUCUAAGUAUAAGCAAUUUAUACAGUGAAACUGCGAAUGGCUCAUUAAAUCAGUUAUCGUUUAUUUGAUAGUUCCUUUACUACAUGGUAUAACUGUGGUAAUUCUAGAGCUAAUACAUGCUUAAAAUCUCGACCCUUUGGAAGAGAUGUAUUUAUUAGAUAAAAAAUCAAUGUCUUCGGACUCUUUGAUGAUUCAUAAUAACUUUUCGAAUCGCAUGGCCUUGUGCUGGCGAUGGUUCAUUCAAAUUUCUGCCCUAUCAACUUUCGAUGGUAGGAUAGUGGCCUACCAUGGUUUCAACGGGUAACGGGGAAUAAGGGUUCGAUUCCGGAGAGGGAGCCUGAGAAACGGCUACCACAUCCAAGGAAGGCAGCAGGCGCGCAAAUUACCCAAUCCUAAUUCAGGGAGGUAGUGACAAUAAAUAACGAUACAGGGCCCAUUCGGGUCUUGUAAUUGGAAUGAGUACAAUGUAAAUACCUUAACGAGGAACAAUUGGAGGGCAAGUCUGGUGCCAGCAGCCGCGGUAAUUCCAGCUCCAAUAGCGUAUAUUAAAGUUGUUGCAGUUAAAAAGCUCGUAGUUGAACUUUGGGCCCGGUUGGCCGGUCCGAUUUUUUCGUGUACUGGAUUUCCAACAGGGCCUUUCCUUCUGGCUAACCUUGAGUCCUUGUGGCUCUUGGCGAACCAGGACUUUUACUUUGAAAAAAUUAGAGUGUUCAAAGCAGGCGUAUUGCUCGAAUAUAUUAGCAUGGAAUAAUAGAAUAGGACGUUUGGUUCUAUUUUGUUGGUUUCUAGGACCAUCGUAAUGAUUAAUAGGGACGGUCGGGGGCAUCAGUAUUCAAUUGUCAGAGGUGAAAUUCUUGGAUUUAUUGAAGACUAACUACUGCGAAAGCAUUUGCCAAGGACGUUUUCAUUAAUCAAGAACGAAAGUUAGGGGAUCGAAGAUGAUCAGAUACCGUCGUAGUCUUAACCAUAAACUAUGCCGACUAGGGAUCGGGUGGUGUUUUUUUAAUGACCCACUCGGCACCUUACGAGAAAUCAAAGUCUUUGGGUUCUGGGGGGAGUAUGGUCGCAAGGCUGAAACUUAAAGGAAUUGACGGAAGGGCACCACCAGGAGUGGAGCCUGCGGCUUAAUUUGACUCAACACGGGGAAACUCACCAGGUCCAGACACAAUAAGGAUUGACAGAUUGAGAGCUCUUUCUUGAUUUUGUGGGUGGUGGUGCAUGGCCGUUCUUAGUUGGUGGAGUGAUUUGUCUGCUUAAUUGCGAUAACGAACGAGACCUUAACCUACUAAAUAGUGGUGCUAGCAUUUGCUGGUUAUCCACUUCUUAGAGGGACUAUCGGUUUCAAGCCGAUGGAAGUUUGAGGCAAUAACAGGUCUGUGAUGCCCUUAGACGUUCUGGGCCGCACGCGCGCUACACUGACGGAGCCAGCGAGUCUAACCUUGGCCGAGAGGUCUUGGUAAUCUUGUGAAACUCCGUCGUGCUGGGGAUAGAGCAUUGUAAUUAUUGCUCUUCAACGAGGAAUUCCUAGUAAGCGCAAGUCAUCAGCUUGCGUUGAUUACGUCCCUGCCCUUUGUACACACCGCCCGUCGCUAGUACCGAUUGAAUGGCUUAGUGAGGCCUCAGGAUCUGCUUAGAGAAGGGGGCAACUCCAUCUCAGAGCGGAGAAUUUGGACAAACUUGGUCAUUUAGAGGAACUAAAAGUCGUAACAAGGUUUCCGUAGGUGAACCUGCGGAAGGAUCAUUAAAGAAAUUUAAUAAUUUUGAAAAUGGAUUUUUUUUUUUUGUUUUGGCAAGAGCAUGAGAGCUUUUACUGGGCAAGAAGACAAGAGAUGGAGAGUCCAGCCGGGCCUGCGCUUAAGUGCGCGGUCUUGCUAGGCUUGUAAGUUUCUUUCUUGCUAUUCCAAACGGUGAGAGAUUUCUGUGCUUUUGUUAUAGGACAAUUAAAACCGUUUCAAUACAACACACUGUGGAGUUUUCAUAUCUUUGCAACUUUUUCUUUGGGCAUUCGAGCAAUCGGGGCCCAGAGGUUAACAAACACAAACAAUUUUAUCUAUUCAUUAAAUUUUUGUCAAAAACAAGAAUUUUCGUAACUGGAAAUUUUAAAAUAUUAAAAACUUUCAACAACGGAUCUCUUGGUUCUCGCAUCGAUGAAGAACGCAGCGAAAUGCGAUACGUAAUGUGAAUUGCAGAAUUCCGUGAAUCAUCGAAUCUUUGAACGCACAUUGCGCCCCUUGGUAUUCCAGGGGGCAUGCCUGUUUGAGCGUCAUUUCCUUCUCAAACAUUCUGUUUGGUAGUGAGUGAUACUCUUUGGAGUUAACUUGAAAUUGCUGGCCUUUUCAUUGGAUGUUUUUUUUUCCAAAGAGAGGUUUCUCUGCGUGCUUGAGGUAUAAUGCAAGUACGGUCGUUUUAGGUUUUACCAACUGCGGCUAAUCUUUUUUUAUACUGAGCGUAUUGGAACGUUAUCGAUAAGAAGAGAGCGU
rnacentral:rRNA from 1 species